CCUACGGGAGGCUGCAGUAGGGAAUCUUUCACAAUGGGCGAAAGCCUGAUGGAGCAACGCCGCGUGCAGGAUGAAGGCCUUCGGGUUGUAAACUGCUUUUAUAAGCGAGAAAUAUGAUGGUAAGUGAUGAAUAAUGAUCGGCUAACUACGUGCCAGCGGCCGCGGUCAUACGUAGGAUCCGAGCAUUAUCCGGAGUGUCUGGGUGUAAAGAGUUGCGUAGGUGGCAUAAUAAGUAGCUAGUGAAAACUGGUGGCUCAACCCUUCAGUCUAUUGGCUAAACUGUUAAGCUCGAGACCGUGAGGAGUAGCUGGAAUUUGUAGUGUAGGGGUGAAAUCCGUAGAUAUUAGAAAGAACACCGAUAGCGUAGGCAGGUUGCUGAGACGGUUCUGACACUGAGGCACGAAAGCGUAGGGAGCGAACGGGAUUAGAUACCCUUGUAGUC
rnacentral:rRNA from 1 species